GCCGAAGUGGUGGAAUAGGUAUACACAACAGACUUAAAAUCUGUCGAGCCAAGCUCAUACGGGUUCGAUUCCCGUCUUCGGCACCA
rnacentral:tRNA from 1 species